GUUACCCUACGGGAGGCAGCAGUAGGGAAUCUUCCACAAUGGACGAAAGUCUGAUGGAGCAACGCCGCGUGAGUGAAGAAGGGUUUCGGCUCGUAAAGCUCUGUUGGUAGUGAAGAAAGAUAGAGGUAGUAACUGGCCUUUAUUUGACGGUAAUUACUUAGAAAGUCACGGCUAACUACGUGCCAGCAGCCGCGGUAAUACGUAGGUGGCAAGCGUUGUACGGAUUUAUUGGGCGUAAAGCGAGUGCAGGCGGGUCAAUAAGGC
rnacentral:rRNA from 1 species